GAUUAAACUUUUAGGUGAAAACAAUACCAUCAGACGCCAGAUUUAUAUGCUUUGCGGGGUGAUGAUGUAUCUAUUGGAUAUGAUGUGAAGAAAGGAGAUUACCAUACCUUAUCAGCCAUAUGCAAUAGGCAGGGUCAAGUUUGAUGCACUCGAACCAGAAAGAUGGUUUCAUCACAUUGUUGCUUUCAUCCACAAAGCUUCUUUUAAGUUUACAGCUUUGCAGUCAACCUUCAAGUUAUGUCAUAUGACCAAAGCAAAAGUUUUGACAUGAUUUACUAUUUUGAUGAAGAAACACAAGAGGGACAGAGAAUUUGUUUGGCUCAAGAAUUUGCGUAUGUGCUGCAGAUGAAGGAAGAUCUUUGCUUCUAUUUAGUUAAGUUAUUUCAUUUUCAAGGUGAAUGAAAACAAAAGUGCAAAUGCGUAAUCUUCACAUUGAUGGUGAUACAGAGUUGAUCCAUGAUCUAGCAUACUCGUAUUUUUGGUGCAGUUAGACACACGAAAGUGGAUUGGAAAAUGGUUCAGGCUAAAAAAGGAUUAACUUUCAGUACGUUUGAUGUUAUAUGGGGAUAAGUAAUGGACAUAAACGUCUCAACGAGCCACACGCAUGGACAAAUGCUAUAGGCGGGUUUUCCCAAAUCUCAGCACCCAAUUUCGUCAUCUAGAGCUCCAAUUUUGAAGCCAAGGCUGUUAAUUUCAAGGAACCCUUGGAGCGGUUACAAGUUGCGUCUGAUGGCACUUGGCAUUCAUGGGCUAAGUUACGCACCUCUGGUUGGAACUUAUAACCAAUAAAGAAUGAAUGGAACUUGUCUGUGAUGUCAAGUUACCAUCUGGUGAAGAUUAAAAGAACUUACCACUGAAGCAAGUUACCUCUAGUGAAGAUUGAUGAAGUCUCGCUAAUGAAGAAGAGAUACCACGUAUCAGCCUAUCAUUUGACGAAGACAAUCUGUUGAGAGGAUGUUAUACGUAACUGUCACUUCUCAAUUCCGUACAUCUCUAUAAGAUAACAAAAACAUGAGUCUGCAUUGAAUUUAUUAUCACUUGACCCCAUAGCUUAUCGUGUCAAGCAGUUGAGUAUGAAUUCGGUGCUUGAACUUAUGUGUGCAAACUUCAGAGGAAAUUUGCAAGCCACCCAACCUAACAUAUCUAGGAAAUCGUCUGUAAAAUUUGUGACUAGUUUUACAUGAUGUAUUGAAACAUUUGAUUUUGAUUAA